UACGAAGGGGGCUAGCGUUGUUCGGAAUUACUGGGCGUAAAGCGUGCGCAGGCGGCUUCUCAAGUCAGGGGUGAAAUCUCACAGCUUAACUGUGAAACUGCCUUUGAUACUGCAAGUCUUGGAUCCAGAAGAGAGUUGUGGAAUUCCGAGUGUAGCAGUGAAAUGUGUAGAUAUUCGGAAGAACACCAGUGGCGAAGGCAACAACUUGGUCUGGUAUCGACGCUCAGGCACGAAAGCAUGGGGAUCAAACAGG
rnacentral:rRNA from 1 species